GCAGAUCAUACAUUUUAAUCAAAAUCUACAGUGAACAUCACAUAUAAAUGUUUUUAUAUCUGUUUUUGUUGUACUGCAUUGUCAGUCCUUGAGUUCUGCUGAUGACACACAUCUCUUUUCAGUGUUGUUACAGGAUUUUAAAAGGCCUUUACAAAAUGGCAGUUUGGGGGCUGUGUGUGUUUAUGUAACUAGAGAACACAGCUGCAAAGGUUCAGCAGAGUUUGGAUACCUGCUUAUUGUCCCUCAUAGUACACGUACACACACAAACUCAUCCCUCACCCAGCACUUUCCCCACCUUUUAAUGGGCUUAUUUUUAAAAUUCCACUGCUUGAGCAAGGCCAUGGGAACACAAGAGGAAAACAUUACCAUUACCCAGAGGGCGGCUUAGCCAGCUCCAGUGGAUAUCGAGGGGUAUCAUUACCUUCUUUUUCAGGUUCAUUCAGUGAGUAAGCGCUGCGAGACAUGUUUUAUCAAUCACAGCCUAUUGAAACCCUUCGUUUAGCCUGUGUCUAUGUGUGUGUGUGUGUGUGUGCAGGUGGUGUGUUGCAUGAGUUCCAGAAUGCAAAGUAAAGAUGCUGUGUGUGUGAUUGCACUGGAAUGGCAUAUGAGCUCUGUGGUUUGGUCCCCCCGUCCUUCCAUCUCUGCCUCCGUCUCUGUGGUGGUGUCUCAGCCAGGGAAUGGAGCGCUGCAUGGUCCUAUAAACUGCAGAAUAACAACCCCCACAGGAACAGGAAUUACUGACGGCCCCAGCUGCUCAGACUACAGCCCACACACACAUGUACAGACAGAGGGACGUGUAGGACGGUUCAUGGACUCCUGACAGGAAGGCCCAUUGUGUUCGGCCACACCACAAGAUGUGAUGAGAUCGUAUUCAGUCCUGUGCACAGUGCUGGUGAACUCUGAACGAGUGUCAGGAGUGUGUUAUCUGUGACAGACUGCUUUUUCUACAGGGUGAGGAUGUGAGGUUAGUGUAUGUGGAGCAGCAGAAACGAGAACAAACAUCUGAGCUGACUGUUUUCUUCAUGCGAGGGAAUAUGGAUUUGAUCUUGACAGACUUCAUGUUCAUGUCUGUUUCAGUUAGACCACAAAGGCAGAUAAAAGACGAGGCACCGGGGCAGACAGGGAUGCUUUCACUUUUUCUGGCUGGGUUUAUUGAUCAUUGGACAUCAUGCAGAGCUCAACAUCUUUCUGAGAGGUGGGGGCAGAUUCUGGCUUUUUGCUUCUAGAAACCACAAAUGCUCCUGCAGGACUCCCCAAUGUGAAGCUCUGUCUGGAUCAAGGCUGUACACACAAAUUCUUCCAUCCUGCUGUUAUAUAACCACAAACACCUCUAUCGCAUGUCCAUUUUCUCAAAGGAGCAUACUGCUGCUUAUUUUAUUGGUCUUUGUCUAUUGAAUACAUAGAUUAAUUUUAGCAUGAUUAGUGUAGCUACAGAAACACAUACAAUUUGUGGAAGUCAUGUCAUUCCAAGAACAUCACAGCUGUGUGUAAAACAUCUUGGUUGUCAUCUAGUAAUUAUGGUAAUAAUGACAUGCCAUGAACAUGAAAC
ensembl:lncRNA